rnacentral:rRNA from 1 species
UAUGGGGGGGGCAAGCGUUGUUCGGAAUUACUGGGCGUAAAGGGCUCGUAGGCGGCCAACUAAGUCAGACGUGAAAUCCCUCGGCUUAACCGGGGAACUGCGUCUGAUACUGGAUGGCUUGAGUUUGGGAGAGGGAUGCGGAAUUCCAGGUGUAGCGGUGAAAUGCGUAGAUAUCUGGAGGAACACCGGUGGCGAAGGCGGCCCUCUGGGUCGACCCUGACGCUGAGGCGCGAAAGCGUGGGGAGCGAACGGG